rnacentral:rRNA from 1 species
UAAAAAUCUACUUCACCAUACGAAUUAAACUAAAACAUUCUUCUGCCCCAGUAUGGGCGACAGAAAAGGCACUACUGGCGCUAUAGAGAUCUGUACCGUAAGGGAAAGAUGAAAUAGUAAUGAAAACCCGAGCAAAAAACAGCAAAGAUAAACCCUUGUACCUCUUGCAUCAUGAUUUAGCAAGAACAACCAAGCAAAACGAGUUUAAGCUUGCCACCCCGAAACCCGAGCGAGCUACUCACAAGCAGCUACCCCCUGAGCGAACCCGUCUCUGUUGCAAAAGAGUGGGAUGACUUGUUAGUAGAGGUGAAAAGCCUACCGAGCCGGGUGAUAGCUGGUUGCCCGUGAAAUGAAUCUAAGUUCUCUCUUAAUUUUCUCUUUUUUCCCCCCCCCGGACAUCCAACCGCAACCACCAUGUGACAAAUCAAGAGCAAUUUAAAGGAGGUACAGCUCCUUUAAAAAAGAAUACAAUCUCCCCUAGCGGAUAACUGCCCAACUGACCCUAAACUGUGGGCCCUCAAGCAGCCAUCAACAAAGAAUGCGUCAAAGCUCUACCCCAAAAAAAUCCAAAAACAACAGGACUCCCUUAUCUAUAGCGGGCCAACCUAUAAUAAUAGGAGAAUCAAUGCUAAAAUGAGUAAUCGGGGGCCACCCUCUCGAGCGCAAACUUACAUCACCACAUUGUUAACAAGCCCUAAACUAAUAUCCCACCCUCAAACAAGCUAAGUAUUAAACUUACCCUGUUAGUCCAACUCAGGAGCGCCCAAUUAGAAAGAUUCAAAUCUGCAAAAGGAACUAGGCAACCCUAAGGCCCGACUGUUUACCAAAAACAUAGCCUUCAGCCAACCAAGUAUUGAAGGUGAUGCCUGCCCAGUGACACUCCGUUCAACGGCCGCGGUAUCCUAACCGUGCGAAGGUAGCGCAAUCAAUUGUCCCAUAAAUCGAGACUUGUAUGAAUGGCUAAACGAGGUCUUAACUGUCUCUUGCAGACAAUCAAUGAAAUUGAUCUUCCUGUGCAAAAGCAGGAAUAAACCCAUAAGACGAGAAGACCCUGUGGAACUUAAAAAUCAGCGGCCACCACACACAACCCAAAACCUACCAGGCCUACGACCCCAAGUAAAACACUGGCCCGCAUUUUUCGGUUGGGGCGACCUUGGAGAAAAGUAAAUCCUCCAAAAACAAGACCACACACCUUGACCAAGAGCAACCCCUCAACGUACUAACAGUAACCAGACCCAAUAUAAUUGACCAAUGGACCAAGCUACCCCAGGGAUAACAGCGCAAUCCCCUCCAAGAGCCCAUAUCGACAAGGGGGUUUACGACCUCGAUGUUGGAUCAGGACACCCUAAUGGUGCAGCCGCUAUUAAGGGUUCGUUUGUUCAACGAUUAACAGUCCUACGUGAUCUGAGUUCAGACCGGAGCAAUCCAGGUCGGUUUCUAUCUAUGCCGGGCUUUUCCUAGUACGAAAGGACCGGAAAAGCAAGGCCCAUACUAUAGGCAUGCCUUCCCUCUAAGUAGUGAACCCAACUAAACUACCAAACAGGACACACCAUUUCACCAUCCUAGAAAAGGAUCG